rnacentral:lncRNA from 1 species
UCCCAUUCUACAUACAAAAGUAUAGAGAAACUAUAUAUUUUUGGAAUCAAUGUGAAAGAAGCUAUCAUAUGAGACCGGAUGUGACAUUCAUUUCACCGGAAGUAGCAUAUUGUCUCCCUUAUAUCUCUCAAAAAGAUAAUUAAUCCAUCAUUUAUCGCAUCAUUAUAAAGAAACUACCUUCGUAUCCAAAUUACUUUGGUUUGGAAAGACUUUCAAUUGUUCUCUGAACAAUUGGUUUUUAAUUAUUAUUAUUAUUAUUUUUUUUUUUUUUUUUCCGCCAACUUUUGUUCUUGCGAUAAAUGUUUGUUUCGCAAUAUGUCGCUUAGAUAUUUCUCAUAUUGUAUCGUAUAGUUUAUGCGCUUUUAAAUUUCACCCUGCUAAGCCAAACCAUUUUCUUUGUAAGAGUUAUCUCCCUAUUCACUGUUUAUCAUCAGAGCGUAUCUCCUUCGUAACAAAAAAAGAUAGCGACAAAAUUCUUUUUACAAAUUGUUCGUUACAUCCUCAGUAAUUUUUGGCGUAUUUGGAUCGAAGCGAUUCGAUGAAAUUUUAAAGGAGUUAUCUACCUUUAAGGAAUAAAUUUGUUCGUAUGUUUUUUUAUCUCAUAAACCGUUAACCGUAUAACCCUGGAUAAUGUUUUAUUUGAGUUCCCUGGGUCCUAACUUAGAAAAUUAGGUCAAGGUCAAAGGUCAAGGUCAAGUUCUCAAUUGUGACUUUUGCUUGUUUUUGCAUUUUCUCUGACACUGUGAGAGAUACAUAUAAAAGAACAAUUGCAAAAUGUCUGCUUUAUUGUAAUGAAGAUAUGCUACAUUUAGUCUCAUACAAUUAAAUGGUAUCUUAUAGGAGUUGUUGCCCCUGAAAUGUCUUGAUAUGAGGUUAUUUGAUUAUAACUUCAAGUAAGUUCAUUAUAAAGACAUUUGACCUUAUACAAAAGGUUAAGUGACAAAUGACCUUGAAAAAUGGCUACCGGAAGUGACCUUGAGAAAACCGGAAGUAGCUUUUUUUGCAGUUUUUUCACAUAAAAGUUCUCAAAAUCCAUAUAUUUUGUCAUAUAGAUACAUCAAC